rnacentral:snRNA from 1 species
GUUCCUUGCGUCCGGGCGUAUAGUCGAUGAAGAAACGAUGCAGAGAAGAUCAGCAUGGCCCCAGCACAUGGAUGACACGCUCCAAUCAAGAGGGGCUACCAUUCUCC